GACGAACGCUGGCGGCAGGCCUAACACAUGCAAGUCGAGCGGAGCGGCGGACGGGUGAGUAAUGCCUAGGAAUCUGCCUGGUAGUGGGGGAUAACGUUCGGAAACGGACGCUAAUACCGCAUACUAUCAGAUGAGCCUAGGUCGGGUUAGCUGGUUGGGGGGGUAAAGGCCUCCCAAGGCGACGAUCCGUAACUGGUCUGGGAGGAUGAUCAGUCACCCUGGAACUUGGACACGGUCCAGACUCCUACGGGAGGCCGCGUUGGGGAAUAUUGGACAAUGGGCGAAAGCCUGAUCCAGCCAUGCCGCGUGUGUUAAGAAGGUCUUCGGAUUUUAAAGCACUUUUAGUUGGGAGGCGUUACCAACAGAAUAAGCACCGGCUAACUUCGUGCCCGCAGCCGCGGUAAUAC
rnacentral:rRNA from 1 species